UGGCCUAGAUUCCUGAAACCUUAUGUCUCUUGGAAGAUAGACGGUUUGGCUUUGCAGCUGAUGUGCUUUGUAUUUCCACAGCCUCACGACACGCUCUCCCAUCCUCUCAACAGGAAAGAUUCUGAAGCUUGGCGGAGAGGGGUGUGUGAGUGGACACCAGUGAAGUAACGGUUUUUGUGUUACGAUGAUUUCUGUUUUCCUCUGCUGCCCUGUAAUGGCAGGAACUCGGAUAGUCUGGUCUUCAGACCAGGAGGACUCCCAGGAGAGAACGGAGAGCCAGUGUGCUGUGUGUCACGGUCCCUGGAUGAACGUUUGUGGAACUGGAUUGAAUUAAACAAGACGUGCAAAGCAAGUGGUUCACGAGGUAGUGUGGGGGUGUAGGGAUGGGGACUGACCCGGGAGG
rnacentral:lncRNA from 1 species